ensembl:misc_RNA Gm27286 predicted gene, 27286
UUUGGCGCCAUUCUCCAAUCAGUCCUUCCCGGCGCGCGCCACCAUCGCCAGGGUCAGGCAGGCGUCAGCUCGGUUUCCACCUCUCUACUCCCCAUGGCCAUGCUCGCCCAAAGCGCGAUGGCGCCGGAUUGCGCGGGAGCUGGCGUAGACAUGAUGCCAGAGCGUUAACAAAAGGAGGA